UACGUAGGGCGCAAGCGUUGUCCGGAAUUAUUGGGCGUAAAGAGCUCGUAGGCGGCUUGUCACGUCGGAUGUGAAAGCCCGGGGCUUAACUCCGGGUCUGCAUUCGAUACGGGCUGGCUAGAGUGUGGUAGGGGAGAUCGGAAUUCCUGGUGUAGCGGUGAAAUGCGCAGAUAUCAGGAGGAACACCGGUGGCGAAGGCGGAUCUCUGGGCCGUAACUGACGCUGAGAAGCGAAAGCAUGGGGAGCGAACAGG
rnacentral:rRNA from 1 species